UACGUAGGGGGCAAGCGUUGUCCGGAAUCAUUGGGCGUAAAGCGAGCGUAGGCGGCCCGAUAAGUCUGCUGUAAAAGUCAACGGCUCAACCGUUGAAAGCCGGUGGAUACUGUCGGGCUAGAGUUCGGAAGAGGCAAGUGGAAUUCCUGGUGUAGCGGUGGAAUGCGCAGAGUAUCAGGAGGAACACCUAUAGCGAAGGCAGCUUGCUGGGACGAAACUGACGCUAAGGCUCGAAAAGCGUGGGGAGCGAACAGG
rnacentral:rRNA from 1 species